CAUAGCUACUCUAAUUGUCAGCGCAUCAGUUGAUGCUGCACCAAAAUUGCCAUUUGAAAUCACAGGAAAGACUGUAGAGGAGGUACUUGAUGUAACCGUAAUGUUCUGUUAACGGUUGAGAUUGAAGUGGCAAAAGUAGUUGCGACAAUCAAAUUUGGAGCGGCAAUUGGAGUUGAUAGAGACUCAUCAACAGGAGAGUUAGAAGGGAAAGUUGCUCACCACCACG